rnacentral:rRNA from 1 species
GACGAACGCUGGCGGCGUGCUUAACACAUGCAAGUCGAACGGAAAGGCCCUGCGUUUGUGGGGUGCUCGAGUGGCGAACGGGUGAGUAACACGUGAGUAACCUGCCCCUGACUUUGGGAUAACUUCAGGAAACUGGGGCUAAUAUCGGAUAGGAUCUUCUGCUGCAUGGGGGGGGUAGGAAAGUUUCGGCGGUUGGGGAUGGACUCGCGGCUUAUCAGCUUGUUGGUGGGGUAGUGGCUUACCAAGGCUUUGACGGGUAGCCGGCCUGAGAGGGUGACCGGCGACAUUGGGACUGAGAGACGGCGCAGACUGCUACGGGCGGCAGCAGUGGGGAACCUUGCACAAUGGGCGGACGCCUGAUGCAGAAGCGCCGCGUGCGGGAUGACCGCCUUCGGGUUGUAAACCGCUUUCGCCUGUGACGAAGCGUGAGUGACGGUACUGGGUAAAGAAGCACCGGCUAACUACGUG